rnacentral:lncRNA from 1 species
CUAGACUUAGUACUAUAAAUAUGUAAUACAAUUCCCAUAAUCAAAUAUAGUUUUCUACCAACGAUUAUACAAUCUUAUAUGGUACCAGAAGUUUAGGUUAGAAUCAUGGCUGAAAACAUUUCCGCUGCAAAUUCAAGCCAUCCUCCGGCCAUCGUCGGUUCUUCAUCUUCGUCAACGAAGAUCGUAAUGAAACCAAUGAAGUGCAUAUUGCUCGACAAGAGCAAUUACUACUCAUGGGAAGCGAAGUUCUCUGCAAUGCUUCAGGGGUUCCAACUCUUCGACUAUGUUCUUGGAAAAAUGGAACUAACAUCGCCGUCCGCCAUCCAACAAGAUUAGCUAAUUCUUAGCUGGAUCCUCACCGGUAUUUUAACAACAAUUCUG